AUACGGAAGGCAGCAGUGGGGAAUUGUUCGCAAUGGGCGCAAGCCUGACGACGCAACGCCGCGUGGAGGACGAAGAUCUUCGGGUCGUAAACUCCUGUCGAGCGGGACGAACACCUGUCCGGUGAACAAUCGGAGAGGCUGACGGUACCGCUAAAGGAAGCCCCGGCUAACUCCGUGCCAGCAGCCGCGGUAAUACGGGGGGGGCAAGCGUUGUUCGGAAUUACUGGGCGUAAAGGGCUCGUAGGCGGCCAACUAAGUCGGACGUGAAAUCCCCAGGCUCAACUUGGGAACUGCGUCCGAUACUGGAUGGCUUGAAUUCGGGAGAGGGAUGCAGAAUUCCAGGUGUAGCGGUGAAAUGCGUAGAUAUCUGGAGGAAUACCGGUGGCGAAGGCGGCAUCCUGGACCGAUAUUGACGCUGAUGAGCGAAAGCCAGGGGAGCAAACGGGAUUAGAUACCCCGGU
rnacentral:rRNA from 1 species